GGGGGGCUAGCUCAGCUGGGAGAGCACGACGUUCGCAACGUCGGGGUCGCGGGUUCAAAUCCCGUGCCCUCCACCA
rnacentral:tRNA from 1 species